AAUAAGUAUAAUUUUAUAUUAUUUAUAUUCAACGUUUGACUAUUCUUUUUAUUUAAAAAAUUUAUGAUUAGUAUUUUUGUUGUUAUUAGAUGAUAAAAUAUGAAUAGUACUUUAUGUGUAACUAAAUUUUUUUAAAAUUUUUUUAUAAAUUUUUUAAAUAAAACGAACGGUCAAACGUUGAAUACGGAUAUCUACGGCUGUGUUUAUU
rfam:Oryza punctata chromosome 1, whole genome shotgun sequence.